UACAGAGGUCCCAAGCGUUGUUCGGAUUCACUGGGCGUAAAGGGUGCGCAGGUGGGUUUGCAAGUUCGAUGUGAAAGCCCCGGGCUUAACCCGGGAAUGGCAUUGGAUACUGCAGAUCUGGAGGAUCGGAGGGGGGACUGGAAUUCUUGGUGUAGCAGUGAAAUGCGUAGAUAUCAGGAGGAACACCGGUGGCGAAGGCGGGUCUCUGGGCCGAUACUGACGCUGAGGAGCGAAAGCGUGGGGAGCGAACAGG
rnacentral:rRNA from 1 species